UUGGAUCUAGAGGGAGUAGAGGAAGGAAAAAAAAAUCAGAUGUCUACAGUACUUACUAAAACAAUUACAAAAAAGCAUUUAAUUCCUGAUGGUCUAGGCUUUUCUGUUACUUACCAUGUUUCAGAUGAUACUGAUACAAAUCUAUACUGACUGGAUAACAUGAUUUAACCCAUGUAGGAUUCAAUGCUUCUUUCUUCAGAUGAAAAGGAGGCAGAGAAUCAUGAGUGACAUGAUUUUCUGUCUUUACAACCCAACAAAGCACACACUUUCAUACAACAAGUUAUAAUACAAUAAUAUAAAAAUAUAUAUAAUUUCAUCUGAGCAUCACCAUGAUUUCACUGCACCCUUUUGUGGUUCAUCACAGAGUCCCAGAUCACCAAAGACUGCCACAUUUCUCCAUAAGCAGGUGAACUGAAACAAACCUCAUGUAAGUUUUAUUUUCUUUAAUUUUUUUUACACUGACUUUUGGAAGAUUUGGUUCAGAAUUAUCCCAAACUUAACUACUGACUCAGUAAACCGUUGCUUUCAUGGUUUGUUGCUGCAUUUUAAGGGUAAAAUUAUACUAGUGUUAUUUUUGUCAAGCGUUUAAUUCAUAGCCAAAUGUUUCAAGUCAGCAAAUUUUCAACCCACAGCAUUCAAGCAACCUUUCACCCAUGAGACCUUCUGAUCUGUUUAACAGCCACUGAAAGUAUAAAACAGAUUGAGGAGGAGAGCACAUUGCAAUGCUGCUCACAGCUUGUGAUGUGCCAGUGCUGCUGCCCACAGACCAAGGAGGGCUGUGACCCACAGCAUGAGGAAUCUGCUCGAGUGUGCUGCAGGAGAACCACCACCUCUUCACAACUGUUUUUGUUGUAUCCACCCUUGCCCUGCUCCUACCAAACCCUCCCCACUGUUCUUCCCAAACUAAUCCUGAGAAAACCAUGUUCCACCGCUAACACUAUGAUACAAAAUGCCCCAUACAAGUACUGUUGGGCAUGGAGACAGCUGAGGUUCUGGAGUCGUGGACACUGCAGCAGAAAUGCUCACUCCAUCCCAAUCCACUUCAUCCCAUGAGUCAUACUAAUUAAACUCCCUGCUCACUUGCAGGCUGUGCUUUUACAAGAACAAGAAAUGUGGUGCUCAGCUAUGCUAGAAAACAUUAAUCUUAUCUAUCAAACCUUACCCACUUCUCAAUUUUUUUCCAGGAAUUAGCUAAUCCCUGUCACUAUCUGUCUACCACAGGGACAAACACUGAGACUCAUGGGUCUUAACUCCAAAACUGAGGUCUUCUCUCAGCUUUUGGCUGCAGCACACCUUGAUAACCAGCUCCCUUCCUCUGGCAGCCCUCUGCAUCUCCUCCAGCUAAGCCAGCUGCAGGUUGAGAGAGCCAGUUCUUCCCUCAUGGACACAUGAGAACAGUCUGUCAAGAGAAAAGGCAUGGCAAACGGAAAGCACUUCAUGCAGUGGUUAUAACAGAAUUCUGCCAAAGCCCACAGAAACCUUGUGCAGAGCAUGGCUCAAUUUUUCAACAGAUAUAUUCACUGAGUACAAACAAUCAUAUUAUAUUUAACUGGUUCUUUGGUAACAAAAGUAGCUUCCUGAUUUUACUGCCACCCAGUUUUCCCACCCUUGCAUUACUGGAACUCAGAAUGGCUAGCUCAACCUGCUGACCAAGACUGAAAGAUUUAAACAAGAAAUCUGCUUCAAAACAUGCUCUUAAAAAUCCAGAAAAUUCCGUGUAGAUUCUGGCACUACAUCAAUUGCCAUAUAGUAUCAGUGUAUUUGGUUUGCAUAGCCAAGCUUUGGUGGUGGUGGGGGGGGCUACAGGGUGGUUUCUGUGAGAGCCUGUGAGAAGCUUCCUCAGUGUCCAGCAGAGCUAGUCUCUGGUGGCUUCAAAGAUGGAUGUGCCACUGGCUAAGGCUGGACCAAUUAGAAAUGGUGGUAACACCUCUGUGAUAACAGAUGUAAGGAGAAGGGAAAAAAACACCCAAUGCUUGUGCAGUUGUAAUUGCCACCAGAGAAGAGCAGAGUGAGAACAUGUGAGAGGACACCCAAGUCACUGCAGAAGGAAAGACAGGAGGUGCUCCAGGCACCAGAGCUGAGGUUCUCCUGCAGCCCGUGGUGCGAUCAUGGUGAGGCAGCUGUGGCCCUGCUGCCCCUAGAGGGCUCUGGGGAUGCAGAGAUCCACCUGCAGCCCCUGGAGGAGACCCAGGCCAGAGCAGGUGGAUGCCUGAGAGGAGGCUGUGAACCCAUGGAGAGAGAAGGUCACACUGGAGCAGGCUGUGGCUGAAGGACUGCACCCCAUGGAAGAGUGACCUACAUUGCAGAAGCUCAUGGAGAACUGUUGCCCGUGGGAUGGACUCACUGGAGAAGUUCAUAGAUAACUGCCUCCCAUGGGGGAGACUCCUUGCUGGAGCAGGGGAUGGAGUCCUCUCCCUGAGCAGUAGCAGGGAUAUGUGAUGAACUGACCACAACCCCCAUUCCCAUCUCCCUGCACCUCUCUAGGGGAGGAGGUAGAGCUGGGAAGGAGGGAAGGGUAGGGGGAAGGUGUUUUCAGGUCUCAUUUUACU